GUACUUUCGUUUGUUAUGAAUUUACAUUCGUUAUCCUUAAAUGACAAGUGUGUGAAAGGAGCAAGGAACAAGUCCCGAGCUGAUUUCAAGUGCACAAAGUGUGUGUGAUUAAAUGAAACGAGCCUCUUGCGAGCACUCUUGUGUAUUCAUUAAUGAUCCUUCCGCAGGUUCACCUACGAAAA
rnacentral:misc_RNA from 1 species